rnacentral:rRNA from 1 species
GAUGAACGCUGGCGGCGUGCCUAAUACAUGCAAGUCGAGCGAACAGAUGAGGAGCUUGCUCCUCUGACGUUAGCGGCGGACGGGUGAGUAACACGUGGAUAACCUACCUAUAAGACUGGGAUAACUUCGGGAAACCGGAGCUAAUACCGGAUAAUAUAUUGAACCGCAUGGUUCAAUAGUGAAAGACGGUUUUGCUGGCACUUAUAGAUGGAUCCGCGCCGCAUUAGCUAGUUGGUAAGGUAACGGCUUACCAAGGCAACGAUGCGUAGCCGACCUGAGAGGGUGAUAGGCCACACUGGAACUGAGACACGGUCCAGACUCCUACGGGAGGCAGCAGUAGGGAAUCUUCCGCAAUGGGCGAAAGCCUGACGGAGCAACGCCGCGUGAGUGAUGAAGGUCUUCGGAUCGUAAAACUCUGUUAUUAGGGAAGAACAAAUGUGUAAGUAACUAUGCACGUCUUGACGGUACCUAAUCAGAAAGCCACGGCUAACUACGUG